AGAGUUUGAUCCUGGCUCAGGACGAACGCUGGCGGCGUGCUUAACACAUGCAAGUCGAACGGAAAGGCCCUUCGGGGUACUCGAGUGGCGAACGGGUGAGUAACACGUGGGUGAUCUGCCCUGCACUCUGGGAUAAGCCUGGGAAACUGGGUCUAAUACCGGAUAGGACCGCAUGCUUCAUGGUGUGUGGUGCAAAGCUUUUGCGGUGUGGGAUGAGCCCGCGGCCUAUCAGCUUGUUGGUGGGGUAAUGGCCUACCAAGGCGACGACGGGUAGCCGGCCUGAGAGGGUGACCGGCCACACUGGGACUGAGAUACGGCCCAGACUCCUACGGGAGGCAGCAGUGGGGAAUAUUGCACAAUGGGCGCAAGCCUGAUGCAGCGACGCCGCGUGAGGGAUGACGGCCUUCGGGUUGUAAACCUCUUUCAGUAGGGACGAAGCGAAAGUGACGGUACCUACAGAAGAAGGACCGGCCAACUACGUGCCAGCAGCCGCGGUAAUACGUAGGGUCCGAGCGUUGUCCGGAAUUACUUGGCGUAAAGAGCUCGUAGGUGGUUUGUCGCGUUGUUCGUGAAAACUCACAGCUUAACUGUGGGCGUGCGGGCGAUACGGGCAGACUAGAGUACUGCAGGGGAGACUGGAAUUCCUGGUGUAGCGGUGGAAUGCGCAGAUAUCAGGAGGAACACCGGUGGCGAAGGCGGGUCUCUGGGCAGUAACUGACGCUGAGGAGCGAAAGCGUGGGUAGCGAACAGGAUUAGAUACCCUGGUAGUCCAA
rnacentral:rRNA from 1 species